ACCCCCGACCCUACUCGUACACCGAUACAACUUAAACCCCUUACCCCUUACUCUCUACACCAGAUACAAUACACCCCCUGUACCCUAACUCUCGACACCAUAUACAAACUAAACCCCCUGUACCCCUACUCUACAGAUACAACUAAACCCCCUGUACCCCGACUCCCCUACUCUACACCGGAUACAACUAAACCCCUGUUACCCCUACUCUACAACCGGAUACAACUAAACCCCCUGUACCCUACUCUCUACACCAGAACAACUAAACCCCCUGUACCCCUACUCUCUACACCAGAUACAACUAAACCCCCUGUACCCCUACUCUCUACACCAGAUACAACUAAACCCCCUGUACCCCUACUCUCUACACCAGAUACAACUAAAACCCCCUGUACAACCCUACCCUCUACUACAACCAGAUACAACUAAAACCCCUGUACCCCUACACCUGGUACCACCCUACACUCUUCACCCUUCAGCAACGGCUACAACUAAACUCACCAAACUACACUCUGUACCCCUACCCUCCAUUGCCCACACCACUAUCCUGCCCUGAGAAGGAGAGUAGAGGACACAAUGGCAAGAGCGAGAGGAAAUGGCAAAGGAUGAUAGGUCAGAGAAAGUAGCAUUUCUUUGGUAGAGUGUGCUCCAUCUGACAGAUUGAGAAUUUUUUUUUUUCAUGAAAGAAAUGCAAAGUAAUACACAGUGGGGAGAACAGGUAUUUAUAACCUGCCGAUUUGCAGUUUUCCUACUUACAAAGCAUGUAGAGGUCUGUAAUUUUUAUCAUAGGUACACUUCAACUGUGAGAGACGGAAUCUAAAACAAAAAUCCAGUGUAUCAAAUACUUGUUCUCCCCACUGUGUUGUGUGUGGUGUGUAUGUAUAUAAGAUAUGUAUAUGUAAGUAAGGGAUAAGGUACUGUAGAAGUAAGGAAUGAAGACGCCAAAGUUCUGCGCAUUAACCUUGGAAAAAAUGGAGGACAAGGCAGAGCCGAGUCUCUUUGCGGGGGUCAUUUUUCUAAGAUGGUGUACAGAACGUCGGCGUCUAUCCCGCUUAUACAACAGUUCCCACAAUUAUUUUGUUAUAAGACAAUUCAUGCUUCUUAUCUUUUGGUUGCUAGAGACGUGACCCGUCGGUCGUUCAAUACUGUCCUUCUUAUCUUUGCUGUUAACUAGCCAACUAGCUACGGCUAACACAGUCACGACGUCGGCAGCCAGAAUAACAGCAAAGUAGCUGGAUUUUUGCAUUUUUUUAAGCUGUUUCUAGUGACAUUCAUGUGAUAAUGAGCUGAUGAUCCCCCCCCCCCCCCCACCAAACAAAACCUGGCAUAGUGCCUUCUCCUCA
rnacentral:lncRNA from 1 species